rnacentral:rRNA from 1 species
AUGCCUAUGAACUAUUCACUUGUUAUUAAACCAUUUGAUGUUUGGGGCUUCGAUUAUAUGGGACCUUUUCCUUCUUGUAAUGGGUAUACACAUAUUUUAGUUCCCUUUGAUUAUGUUACUAAAUGGGUAGAAGCUAUUCCAACUAGUAGUGCUGAUCAUAACACUUCUAUUAAGAUGCUUAAAGAAGUUAUUUUUCUGAGGUUUGGAGUCCCUAGAUAUUUAAUGACUGAUGGUGGUCCACAUUUUAUUCAUGGUGCUUUCCGUAAAAUGCUUGCUAAGUAUGAUGUUAACCAUAGAAUUACAUCUCCAUAUCAUCCUCAGUCUGGUGGUCAAAUAGAAUUAAGUAAUAGAGAGCUUAAAUUAAUUUUGCAAAAGACAAUUAAUAGAUCUAGAAAGAAUUGGUCUAAGAAACUUGAUGAUGCAUUAUGGGCUUAUAGAACCGCUUGUAAGAAUCCUAUGGGUAUGUCUUCGUACAAAAUGGUUUAUGGAAAAUCAUAUCACUUACCUCUUGAACUAGAACAUAAGGCAUAUUGGGCUAUUAAAGAGCUCAAUUAUGAUUUCAAACUUGCCGGUGAGAAGAGGUUAUUUGACAUUAGCUCACUUGAUCAAUGGAGAACCCAAGCCUAUGAGAAUGCCAAGUUGUUUAAAGAAAAAGUUAAAAGAUGGCAUGACAAAAGGAUACAAAAGCAUGAGUUUAAUAUAGGUGAUCAUGUUUUGCUAUACAACUCUCGUUUAAGAUUUUUUGUAGGAAAGCUUCUCUCUAAAUGGGAAGGUCCUUACAUCAUCGAGGAGGUCUAUCGUUUCGGUGCCAUAAAAAUCAACAAUGUCGAAGGCACAAAUCCGAAGGUGGUAAAUGGUCAAAGAAUCAAACAUUGUAUCUCAGGUACUCCCAUAAAUGUUGAGACUAAUAUAAUUAAUACCAUAACGCCAGAGGAGUACAUAAGGGACACUUUCCAGAAUGUUUCAGACUCCAAAAAGGAAUAG